AUUAAGGUUGAAUAAAUAAAAUAUUGAAUUAUUAGUAGUUAUAAUUUAAAAUUUAAAGAAUUUGGCGGUAAUUUAGUCUUGUCAGAGGAACCUGUUUAAAUUGAUCGAUAUACCUCGCAAUAUCUUACUUAUUUUUAGUUUGUAUACCAUCAUUAUUAGAUAAUUUUUAAAGGAUAAAUUAUUAAAAUUAAGUUAAAUUAAAAAAAUUAGAUCAAGGUGCAGCUUAUAAAUAAGAUUAAAUGGGUUACAAUAAAUUUUAUUUAAAUGGAAAAGAUUAGUAAGUUGAAUUUAGGAAGGAGGAUUUGAUAGUAAUAUAAGUAUAAUAAGCUUAUAAGAUAGGAGCUCUAAAUUAUGU
rnacentral:rRNA from 1 species